GACGAACGCUGGCGGCGUGCCUAACACAUGCAAGUCGAACGGAGAAGUUCAGCAAUGGAUUUCUUAGUGGCGAACGGGUGAGUAACGCGUAGACAACCUGCCUCUAAGCUGGGGACAACAACUCGAAAGGGUUGCUAAUACCGAAUGUGAACAGUGCCUCGCAUGAGAUGCUGUUUGAAGGUGGCCUCUGAAUAUGCUACCGCUUAGAGAUGGGUCUGCGUCUGAUUAGCUAGUUGGAGGGGUAAUGGCCCACCAAGGCGACGAUCAGUAGCCGGUCUGAGAGGAUGAACGGCCACACUGGGACUGAGACACGGCCCAGACUCCUACGGGAGGUAGCAGUGGGGAAUCUUCCGCAAGGGACGAAAGUCUGACGGAGCAACGCCGCGUGAGUGAAGAAGGCCCUCGGGUCGUAAAGCUCUGUCUUCAGGGACGAAUGUGCAGAUUGUGAAUAAUGGUUUGUAAUGACGGUACCUGAGGAGGAAGCCACGGCUAACUACGUGCCAGCAGCCGCCGUAA
rnacentral:rRNA from 1 species